rnacentral:tRNA from 1 species
GUCUCCGUGGCGCAAUUGGUUAGCGCGUUCGACUGUUACGCAGGGCGCUCACCCGCAUUCAUCGAGAGGUUGGCAGUUCAAGCCUGCCCGGGGACG